UAGGGAAUCUUCGGCAAUGGGGGGAACCCUGACCGAGCAACGCCGCGUGAGUGAAGAAGGUUUUCGGAUCGUAAAACUCUGUUGUUAGAGAAGAACAGCGCAUAGAGUAACUGUUAUGCGUGUGACGGUAUCUAACCAGAAAGCCACGGCUAACUACGUGCCAGCAGCCGCGGUAAUACGUAGGUGGCAAGCGUUGUCCGGAAUUAUUGGGCGUAAAGCGAGCGCAGGCGGUCAAUUAAGUCUGAUGUGAAAGCCCCCGGCUCAACCGGGGAGGGUCAUUGGAAACUGGUUGACUUGAGGGCAGAAGGGGGGAGUGGAAUUCCAUGUGUAGCGGUGAAAUGCGUGGGUAAAUGGAAGAACACCAGUGGGGAAGGCGACUCUCUGGUCUGUAACUGACGCUGAGGCUCGAAAGCGUGGGUAGCAAACAGG
rnacentral:rRNA from 1 species